rnacentral:rRNA from 1 species
GACGUAGGAGGCGAGCGUUAUCCGGAUUCACUGGGCGUAAAGCGCAUGUAGGCGGCUGGACAAGUCGUGUGUUAAAGCCCCUGGCUCAACUGGGGGAGGUCAUGCGAGACUGUACGGCUGGAGGGCAACAGAGGCACGUGGAACUCCCGGUGUAGCGGUGGAAUGCGUAGAGAUCGGGAAGAACACCAAUGGCGAAGGCAGCUCGCUGGGACGUGACUGACGCUGAGACGCGAAAGCGUGGGGAGCAAACAGG